CAUGGAGGGUGAGAAUCCCGUUCAUGGUUAAUCUUAAGGAAGCUCUACGAUACGUUUUCCAAGAGUCGAGUUGUUUGGGAUUGCAGCUCAAAAUGGGAGGUAAAUUUCUCCUAAGGCUAAAUAUUGGCGAGAGACCGAUAGCGAACAAGUACCGUGAGGGAAAGAUGAAAAGAACUUUGAAAAGAGAGUUAAACAGUACGUGAAAUUGUUGAAAGGGAAACGAUUGAAGUCAGUCAUACCAACGGGAAAUCAACCUUUUGAGCUCGGUCUCGUGGGUUUUGAAGAGUUUCAAAGCCUUCGGAUUCGCGGGAUUGGGAUCUCUUGGCGUACUUUCUCGUACGGUUAGUCAACAUCGGUUUUGAAUGUCAUAAAAUGACUGGAGGAAUGUAGCUUCGAUCUCGUAUUGAAGUGUUAUAGCCUUUGGUUGAUGUGAUGUUUGAGACAGAGGAUUGCAACGGAUACCCUUCAGGGCUAUUCGUCUGAUCUCUGAUACGUUGCCUUGAUGUUGAAAGCUUGCUUAUGAUGUUAGGGUAUUACGGUCAAAAGGUUAGAACGAAUUACAUUCGUUAAGGAUGUUGACGUAAUGG
rnacentral:rRNA from 1 species